CAGCCGCCGCGGUAAUACUAGCGGUCCGAGUCGCAGCCACUUUUAUUGGGUCUAAAACAUCCGUAGCUUGCUUUGUAAGUUUCUUGUGAAAUUUUAUCUCUUAAAGGUAGAGCGUGCAAGAAGUACUGCAAAGCUAGAGACUGGAAGACGUAAAGAGUAUGUUCAAAGUAGCGGUAAAAUGUUUUAAUCUUGAACAGACUAACAAGAGCGAAGGCACUUUACGAGGACAGUUCUGACCGUAAGGGAUGAAGGCUAGGGUCGCGAACCGAAUUAGAUACCUGUGUAGUCCUAGCAGUAAACACUGCACACUAAACAUCAGUACCUCCUCGAGAGGUAAUGGUGCUGCAGGGAAGCCGAAGAGUGUGCUACCUGGGAAGUAUAGUCGCAAGGCCGAAACUUAAAGGAAUUGGCGGGGAGACACUACAACAGGUGACGCGUGCGGUUCUAUUAGAUUACACACCGUGAACCUCACCAGGACCGACAGCAGAAUGAAGGUCAGUCUGAAGGGCUUACCUGACACGCUGAGAGGAGCUGCAUGGCCGACGUCAGCCUGUGCUGUGAAGUGACCUGUUAAAUCAGGUAACAGGCAAGACCCACAUGUAUAUUUACUACGUGUACAAUAUACAGAUUGCCUUGGUAACAAGGAUGAAAGUGUGGGCUACGUUAGGUGAGUACAGCCCGACCGCCCUGGGCAACACGCGCGCGUCAAUGGUGGAUACAAUUGGAUGCGACUCUGAAAAGAGAAGCUAAUCCCUUAAAGUCCAUCUCAGUCCAGAUCGAGGUUUGUAACUCAAUCUCGUGACGCUGGAAUCUGUAGUAAUCGGGUGUUAUCAACGCCCGGUGAAUACGUCACUGUCUCUUGCACACACUGCCCGUCAAACCAACCAAGUUAUGUUAGGGUGAAACUCUUUGGAGGAGAGCCUCAAUAUAAUGAGGUAGGUUAAGUCGUAACAAGGUAACCGUA
rnacentral:rRNA from 1 species